rnacentral:rRNA from 1 species
UACGAAGGGGGCUAGCGUUGCUCGGAAUCACUGGGCGUAAAGGGUGCGUAGGCGGGUCUUUAAGUCAGGGGUGAAAUCCUGGAGCUCAACUCCAGAACUGCCUUUGAUACUGAAGAUCUUGAGUUCGGGAGAGGUGAGUGGAACUGCGAGUGUAGAGGUGAAAUUCGUAGAUAUUCGCAAGAACACCAGUGGCGAAGGCGGCUCACUGGCCCGAUACUGACGCUGAGGCACGAAAGCCAGGGGAGCGAACAGG